GUUCUCCUGUCUGUGACAGAAUAGCCAUUAUUUAUCUCACUUUUAAAGUACAGAACAGGAACCUUUAUUGCUUCGCUUUAGUUUGAGGAAGUUGAUCGGAAGGAAUGGUCCUGAGAAGAUGGGAAGCUGCUACAAGGUAGAACAAGAAUAUUAACCAGAGAGGAGUGCUGGUGGGGAAGGGGCCUGACUCUGGACUGGAGACCUGCACCCUAAUUACACAGCACGACACCAAGAAGAAGAAAUUCUUCACCUACCAGGCGAUCGGCAGAAAAUACGAAGUCUCCUCUACUGGCUGUCCUGAAAAAGGUAACAAUUUCUAUUUUAAAUUGGGGAAUAAUUAAGAACAUUGCUUAAAUAUAAUGUUAUUCAAAGGACAAUAUUUUCCAGAGGUGGUUUGGAGAAAGGUCUCCUGCCACGUUCCAACUUUAUCCCCCAGAGAUCCUACCGCGUGUUUCGUACCAGCUGAGGAAGCCUGAGCUGCAGUGAGCUCGCGCGGGGCUCUGCCUCGUACCACUGGCCACGUCGCUGCACUGCUCACUUCCAGAACACCUCAGCAGCUCUGAGCUGUGCCAGCCUGGUGGGUUCUCUGCAGCUGUAAGCAGGAGAGCUUUGCUUUGCCUGUUCUCAAACCAGUCGGAGCCCAGGACAGUGAUGAAGCAGAUCCCAGGCGCUGAGGCUGACCCAGUGCACCUGACAAGCAGGGUCUCCUAUCUCAUCAGGAAUUCACUCACAGCGUGGUAAGCCUGGUGAGCCUCAGCCUAAAAAUGAGCAGGGACAAGCAAGCAGUGCUACGCAAACCCCUCUCUCCUGGCUUAGUGGCUUAGGUGGAACUUUUUACUACCACGACUGCUGGCCCAUCCAGCAGGCAGGAAGGGCAGGCUCGCCUCUCCCUGCUCCUUGCUGUGCAAACACGCCACGGGGACGGCUGCUGUCAGAAAGCCAGGUUGGAACAGCUGGCUUCCCGGGUCAAGACCAACUCUCACCACACAGCACCAGGACAAGCUUCCAACUAAGGAGACAACAUUUCCAGUACGUUAGCCUUAAAAAUCCUCAGACAAGGAAUCACCAUCGCAGGCAGGUCGCUUUUAGUGACACUUUCUGGUAAUCACACUAGGCCUACCCCUCUCUCAUCUCCAAGCUAUGAUACUCUGGAUGUCUCUUGAAAUGCCACGGAUAGUUUUGCACUUAAUCUCCAGGGUUCUGCAACAUCUUCCGUUUACAAGAGUGGCAGUCAGGAUGUUUGUCUGCCGACUCCCCGUACUGCUAGUACAACCUUGCCACAUUAAGAAAAUGAGGUUUUAAAAGACUGGCAGCCUAAUCUGAUUUCUUUCCUUGUGCUAACACCACUGGUAUUUGUUAUUCAAAAUGCUGUUUGUUUUUUGCUCUUUCUAGCAAUGACAGGAUACUCUUAGUGCUCUGCUACUUUGAUGUUCAUCAGAAAACCAGAACUGAAGAAAGCCCCAUCAAAUACCCAAGAAACAAGCUUGCAAUCACACAACCUGAUUUUGCUGAGAUUUUUAAAGGGAUUCAUACUCCCAACUGUGGUGUGUGCAAAUAUAAAAAAAUAACAGCAAGUAGCAAAGUGUGUAGGUGGUGUAUUCUUAGGUUUUUCCAGACUAGAGCGUGGCAUGUCAGAAAGCUUACCCAUAUUUCAUGAGAGGGGGGUAAGACAAACCUGACCGUGUCACAACUCUGGUUUUGAUUGCAAAGCAAUAAAAGUUCAGAGUGAAUACUGUGGGCUAUUAAUACAGAUUAGGAGGUUUUAAAUGAACUACUCUGUCCUCGCACAGGGAGGCUGAUGUUUUUACACACUGUUCACAGAAAACCCUUGGUCAGUUCUGUCUGGUUUUUAAGGGGAUGGAGAACAAUAGUGGUGGCAUGCAUAAAAAUUAGAGACAAAUAAUAAUAAUAUUGAAAAUGACAGGCCUCGUGCACACCUUCAGCUGGAAAGCUGUGACCAGGUUUUAAGCCCCACAUCACGAGAAAAUUAAUUUCUAAGGGGCCAGAAAAAAGGUUCAU